rnacentral:rRNA from 1 species
GAGUUUGAUCCUGGCUCAGGAUGAACGCUAGCGGGAGGCUUAAUACAUGCAAGUCGAACGGUAAGGUCUUGCUUGCAAGAUACACGAGUGGCGCACGGGUGAGUAACGCGUACACAACCUACCUUUAAGAGAGGGAUAGCCCUGGGAAACUGGGAGUAAUACCACAUAAUAUUAUCUAUGUAAGAUUGAUAAUUAAAGCUCAGGCGCUUAAAGAUGGGUGUGCGUACUAUUAGAUAGUUGGUGAGGUAAUGGCUCACCAAGUCAGCGAUAGUUAGGGGGCGUGAGAGCGUGAACCCCCACACGGGUACUGAGACACGGACCCGACUCCUACGGGAGGCAGCAGUAAGGAAUAUUGGACAAUGGAGGCAACUCUGAUCCAGCCAUCCCGCGUGCAGGACUAAGGCCCUCUGGGUCGUAAACUGCUUUUAUAAGAGAAGAAAC